rnacentral:rRNA from 1 species
UACAGAGGUCCCAAGCGUUGUUCGGAUUUAUUGGGCGUAAAGGGUGCGUAGGCGGCGGAGUAAGUUGGGUGUGAAAUCCCGGGGCUCAACCUCGGAAUUGCAUUCAAUACUGCUUCGCUCGAGUACUGGAGAGGAGGCUGGAAUUUACGGUGUAGCAGUGAAAUGCGUAGAUAUCGUAAGGAAGGCCGGUGGCGAAAAGCGAGCCUCUGGACAGUUACUGACGCUGAUGCACGAAGGCCAGGGGAGCAAACGGG